rnacentral:misc_RNA from 1 species
CACACACACACACACAUAACAAGAAUUAAAUAUUUGAAAGAAAAUUGAAAUUAUAACAAAAAAUAAUAGUGUUACAGUUCUCAUAUUACUUUCCUGAAAAUCUACUUUCCCUAGGAAAGUGAUUCCGAUUUCUGAAUGGGAAUGCUGAAUUACAGCAACCAAAAGCCCCCUUAGAGGAAAAGGAUUCACGGACCCUACUCAGUUAAUUGGUACUUAGAUUUAGUUUGGUUGAGUUGAGUUAUAGAUGUCAAGGGUUGAUGAUAUUGUAAAUGUUCCAAUCUAAGCUCAAGUUGUGUGUUGAUCUAUGCCACAUCCAUUGCUCUCUGUUAGGACUAAUUUGUUUAUUUGUACUUGCCUUCAGUGAUAUGAAGAACUUGAUAGGUGAGGCUAUAUGUGGGAUUUGCCAAGAGAGCUUUAGCACUACCAUCA